GCCUACGGCCAUACCACCCUGAACGCGCCCGAUCUCGUCUAAUCUCGGAAACUAAGCAGGGUCGGGCCUGGUUAGUACUUGGAUGGGAGACCGCCUGGGAAUACCAGGUGUUGUAGGUU
rnacentral:rRNA from 1 species